UAAGACGUAGGGGGCGAGCGUUGCCCGGAAUUACUGGGCGUAAAGGGGGCGUAGGCGGUCAAAUAAGUCAGAUGUGAAAUACUACUGCUCAACGGUAGAAAUGCGUUUGAAACUGUAAGACUUGAGGGUACCAAAGGUAGACGGAAUUACCUGAGUAGGGGUGAAAUCCGUAGAUACAGGUAAGAACGCCAGUGGGGAAGCCGGUCUACUGGGGUAACCCUGACGCUGAGGCCCGAAAGCUAGGGGAGCGAACCGGAUUAGAUACCCGGGUAGUCCUAGCAGUAAACGAUGCUCACUAGGUGUGGGGAGUGAAUUCUCCGUGCUGAAGCGAACGCGAUAAGUGAGCCGCCUGGGGAGUACGGCCGCAAGGCUGAAACUCAAAGGAAUUGACGG
rnacentral:rRNA from 1 species